rnacentral:lncRNA from 1 species
AGCUGCAGAACAAUGAGUGUAGACAAGAGAGCGUCAGACGUGUCUUGCUUCCUUCCUCUGGAGGAGCGAAGAAGUAUACCAGAACUGGAGUCGCAUAGAGACAACCCUGAAAUGGCAUCAGUUUAUGAUACACUGCAGUUACAUCGCAUGGCUGACAGCAGGGAUGUUGACACAGCAUGAAGGAACAGAACUGGAAGUCACUGAGAAGCCAACAUGAUAACUCAUAAAGAGGACAUUUAACCAAAAUGAAAGUAAAAUAAUAAUCACCCAGAAAACCUUUUAGAGGCACAGUUGUUAUGGGAGAAAAAUCCCCUGGAACUGUUGCGCUGAUGUUAUAACUUCAGGCUUUCUUUGUAG